UUCAACUAAAGAGUUUGAUCCUGGCUCAGAUUGAACGCUGGCGGCAUGCUUUACACAUGCAAGUCG
rnacentral:rRNA from 1 species